CCGCCGGCGCGAAACGAGCGUAGCUUCCUUGUCGUGUGGCCUCAGUCCUUCGCCGUCCCUCGCCGUCCUUCGCCAUCGCACGCCACCGCACCCCAUCUCUCGAAAUCUGCAGACAUCUUGAUUUUUCCCACGCUGUCUGUCAGGUCUCCGCCGCCACUCGACGCCAGGGCGCCGGGCCUUGUGGGCUGUGCUGCACCUCGGACGGCUUCGCACCAGCCAGCGCCCUCUCUCUCCUGCAGCACUCUGAUCUGCACCCCCUGAGGGGCUUCCACUGUCCGCGGGGUGAGAAUGCCCCUGGGAGUGUCACAUGACUGCCGCCCCAUGUGUGUGAGAGGCGUCCUCUGGGAGAGCAUGGAUCCUGAGGUCCCAGGAUUGUCAGCUGACCUCUGUCCUGUGUGCCCAGUGGCCCCAGGUGACGUGUCUUCAAGAAGAGGCUGAGCUGCGGUGCUUGUAAGGUCUCAGCCUUAGAUCCAAGGACAGUCCAAGGAAGUCCUAAGACCAUGGAGUUGGUGAUCUGGGAUCUGGGUUUGCUGAUAUUUCUCACCGUGAAUCUCUUGGUGGUGUUUGUGGGCACGAGAGGGGCAGAGAAUGGAGAGUGAGGCUACCACAUGAAGCGUCACCAGAGCUGCUCCCUGCUGCCUGCUCAGAGCACCCCGGAUCCACUGUUCAAUCUGCACAAGAUUCGGGGUCCAGACAUGGGAGACUUCAGCUGCCUCAGAGGACCGUGGACAGGGAAGGCCAGCCUCGCAUCCCUCUGUCCAUGCCUGGAAUGACUUUAAUAACCAAGAGUUUUAUUUUUGAAUUUGUAGCUGUCGUUCACUUUUUACCCACCCAUUCAAUAAACCUUACAGAAUUGCUCCAUGUGCUUCUUAAAUCAGUGACAACCUGUGAGCCUGCCAGGCUGGCUUUGGAGAAGAGGGAGGAAUCUACACAUGUCCCAGGGGCCAUGGUGAAAAGGUGCAGUUAAUCUCCCCACUUGAAGUUAAAACCACCUUGGCUGGAGUUGGGGCAAAAAUCACGCUGACGGCGUCUCGCUGCUGACUCCCAGGCUGGAAUACUCUGGCGUGAUCUUUGCUCACUGCAACCUCCACCGCCUGGGUUCAAGCGAUUCUCCUGCCUCAGCCUCCUGAGUAACUGGGACUACAGGGUCCCACCCAGGAUGCCAC
rnacentral:lncRNA from 1 species